rnacentral:rRNA from 1 species
CUAGUAUAUAUCAGUUAGUUGACUCGUGCCAGGAUGAACGCUGGCUGUGUGCCUAAUACAUGCAUGUCGAGCGAAGUGAUUUAUCACUUAGCGGCGAAUGGGUGAGUAACACGUACUCAACGUACCCUUCAGUUUGGCAUAGCGGUUGGAAACAACCGAUAAUUCCAAAUACUUGUAGAUGCCGCAUGGCAUUUACGGAAAAGACGCCUUAAAGCGUCGCUGGAGGAGCGGGGUGCGCAACAUUAGCUAGUUGGUGAGGUAACGGCCCACCAAGGCGAUGAUGUUUAGCGGGGCUGAGAGACUGAUCCGCCACACUGGGACUGAGAUACGGCCCAG